rnacentral:rRNA from 1 species
GUGGGGAAUAUUGGACAAUGGGCGAAAGCCUGAUCCAGCCAUGCCGCGUGUGUGAAGAAGGUCUUCGGAUUGUAAAGCACUUUAAGUUGGGAGGAAGGGCAGUAAGUUAAUACCUUGCUGUUUUGACGUUACCGACAGAAUAAGCACCGGCUAACUUCGUGCCAGCAGCCGCGGUAAUACGAAGGGUGCAAGCGUUAAUCGGAAUUACUGGGCUUAAAGCGCGCGUAGGUGGUUUUGUAAGUUGGAGUUGAAAUCUCCGGGCUCAACCUGGGAACUGCCUCCAAAACUGCAUGACUAUAGUACGGUAGAGGGUAGUGGAAUUUCCUGUGUAGCGGUGAAAUGCGUAGAUAUAGGAAGGAACACCAGUGGCUAAGGCGACUACCUGGACUGAUACUGACACUGAGGUGCGAAAGCGUGGGGAGCAAACAGGAUUAGAUACCCCGGUAGUCC